rnacentral:rRNA from 1 species
CCUACGGGAGUCAGCAGUGGGGAAUAUUGCGCAAUGGGCGAAAGCCUGACGCAGCGACGCCGCGUGAGGGAUGAAGGUCUUCGGAUCGUACACCUCUGUCAGCAGGGAAGAACGGUCACUGUGCUAAUCAGCAGUGAAUUGACGGUACCUGCAAAGGAAGCACCGGCUAACUCCGUGCCAGCAGCCGCGGUAAUACGGAGGGUGCGAGCGUUAAUCGGAAUUACUGGGCGUAAAGCGCGCGUAGGCGGUAUGGCAAGUCAAGGGUGAAAUCCCAGGGCUCAACGUGGGAACUGCCUUUGAAACUGACAAACUGGAGUGUGUGAGAGGAUAGUGGAAUUCCAGGUGUAGGAGUGAAAUCCGUAGAUAUCUGGAGGAACAUCAGUGGCGAAGGCGACUAUCUGGCACAUAACUGACGCUGAGGAGCGAAAGCGUGGGUAGCAAACAGGAUUAGAUACCCGGGUAGUC